GCCAGAAACAAGGAGACCAGAUAACAGGCUCUUAUAGGAGCCCAGGAGAAAGAUAAUGGCAGUUUACCAGAAUUCUCUAUGAACCAUCAUUUGCAGCAAGUACACUAAAUGUGGACACUCAUGCUUACAAUGACUGAGGCAGCAGACACCAUGAGACCCUGAGUUUACUGCUCUGGGGAAGAAGCAGGAAAAAGCUCACCCCUCUCUGAUCUGGCUGAAAACACCAUGAGAGAAAAGCAACACUGAACAGCUCCCACCUAGAACUUGACCCAGGUUUGAUCCACAGAGGAACAGGG